rnacentral:lncRNA from 13 species
GCUGAAUAUAGUUUUUCCAUUGGAUUAGUCUAAAAGGUAAAAGCAAAUGCGUGUCUUUAGAGCAUCUCUUCUUGUGCACAUCAAAUAUACAGUGUGUUGAAGGCCUGGGAGGCCAUCCGACCUCCUACCUGAUGGAUUACACUAGGUUAGUGUCACGUUUUACUAACGCUCCCUAGAAAACCUUAUUUUAGAAACAUUUCCUGCCUCAUUUUAUCUGAGUUUGCUCAAGGAACUGAAAUCAUCAUGUCCUGAGCUACAUGCCAUGUGCAAGGUCUCUGGCUUAGCACACAGAAAACUCAGAGGAAUUGUAAUUCAGUGAUUCUUGCCAUCUGCAAGCCUGUGGAAUUCAGGUGCCCACAGGAAGGAAUGGAGAGUUUUUUCCAGCCUGACCGUAUCAGCCAUCUCACCACAAGAACCUUCUGUUUUGGCUGUCGUCCCUCUAUCAGACUCAGGCUGCUCCUUAUGGCCAACUAGAUGUGUCUUGCCAUCUUGCUCAGGCUGGUCUUGAACUCCUGGGCUCAAGCCGUCUUCCUGUUUCAACCUCUAAAGUGCUGGGAUUACAGCAGGUGAUGUUUCACAUCCUCCUUCUUAAUCUACUGUCUAUUUGGAGACCAUUUCCAACCACCAAGAGUAACAAGGUGAGUUCAACUAUGAAAUACAUAAACUUGAAGCCAGCAAUUAGAGCUUUCUGAUGUGUUCAUAAUACAUCCAUUUUGUAUUGCCAUUCUUGCUGUGCAGUGUGGA